rnacentral:rRNA from 1 species
UACGUAGGGGGCAAGCGUUGUCCGGAAUCAUUGGGCGUAAAGCGCGUGUAGGCGGCUCGGUAAGUCCGCUCUGAAAGUCCAGGGCUCAACCCUGGGAUGCGGGUGGAUACUGCCCGGGGCUCGAGUCCGGAAGAGGCGAGUGGAAUUCCCGGUGUAGCGGUGAAAUGCGCAGAUAUCGGGAGGAACACCAAUGGCGAAGGCAGCUCGCUGGGACGUGACUGACGCUGAGACGCGAAAGCGUGGGGAGCAAACAGG